GGAGGGGUGGCCGAGUGGUUAAAGGCAGCAGACUGUAAAUCUGCCCGCUUACGCGUACACAGGUUCGAAUCCUGUCCCCUCCACCA
rnacentral:tRNA from 5 species